CGUCAAGUCGGUCAGCCAGGCUGGCGAGGCGUUGACGAGAACGGUCUCGGUCCACUUGUCGGCGCCGGUGACGAUGCCCACUCCGAUCAAGAGCAACGCCACCCCCAGCAACACCUUGCCGAACUGCCCUGCAACAUGCGCCCGCGUAUCCUCAUGAGAGCGGAGCGGGACAGAAGCCCCAGAAUGGCGAGCGGCAAGGCAGCGCCAAGACCAAAUACCGUCAUUGUGAUCG
rnacentral:misc_RNA from 1 species